rnacentral:rRNA from 1 species
AAUAGAUACCCUGGUAGUCCAUGCCGUAAACGUUGGGAACUAGAUGUAGGGCCUGUUCCACGGGUUCUGUGUCGUAGCUAACGCAUUAAGUUCCCCGCCUGGGGAGUACGGCCGCAAGGCUAAAACUCAAAGGAAUUGACGGGGGCCCGCACAAGCGGCGGAGCAUGCGGAUUAAUUCGAUGCAACGCGAAGAACCUUACCAAGGCUUGACAUAUAGAAGAACACUGCAGAGAUGCAGGACUCUUUGGACACUUCUAUACAGGUGGUGCAUGGUUGUCGUCAGCUCGUGUCGUGAGAUGUUCGGUUAAGUCCGGCAACGAGCGCAACCCUCGUCCUAUGUUGCCAGCGGGUGAUGCCGGGAACUCAUGGGAUACUGCCGUGGUCAACACGGAGGAAGGUGGGGAUGACGUCAAAUCAUCAUGCCCCUUAUGUCUUGGGCUUCACGCAUGCUACAAUGGCCGGUACAAAGGGCGGCGAUACCGUAAGGUGGAGCGAAUCCCGAAAAAGCCGGUCUCAGUUCGGAUUGGGGUCUG